rnacentral:rRNA from 1 species
UACAGAGGUGGCAAGCGUUGUUCGGAAUUAUUGGGCGUAAAGAGCUCGUAGGCGGUUCGUCGCGUCGGCUGUGAAAUCCCGAGGCUCAACCUCGGGUCUGCAGUCGAUACGGGCGGACUGGAGUUCGGCAGGGGAGACUGGAAUUCCUGGUGUAGCGGUGAAAUGCGCAGAUAUCAGGAGGAACACCGGUGGCGAAGGCGGGUCUCUGGGCCGAUACUGACGCUGAGGAGCGAAAGCGUGGGGAGCGAACAGG